UGGCGAACGGGUGAGUAAUAUAUCGGAACGUGCCCAGUCGUGGGGGAUAACGUAGAGAAAUUUACGCUAAUACCGCAUACGAUCUAAGGAUGAAAGCAGGGGACCGCAAGGCCUUGUGCUCCUGGAGCGGCCGAUAUCUGAUUAGCUAGUUGGUGGGGUAAAGGCCUACCAAGGCAUCGAUCAGUAGCUGGUCUGAGAGGACGACCAGCCACACUGGAACUGAGACACGGUCCAGACUCCUACGGGAGGCAGCAGUGGGGAAUUUUGGACAAUGGGCGCAAGCCUGAUCCAGCAAUGCCGCGUGAGUGAAGAAGGCCUUCGGGUUGUAAAGCUCUUUUGUCAGGGAAGAAACGGCAUGCUCUAAUACAGUGUGCUAAUGACGGUACCUGAAGAAUAAGCACCGGCUAACUACGUGCCAGCAGCCGCGGUGAUACGUAGGGUGCAAGCGUCAAUCGGAAUUACUGGGCGUAAAGCGUGCGCAGGCGGUUUUGUAAGUUUGUCGUGAAAUCCCCGGGCUCAACCUGGGAAUGGCGAUGAAGAC
rnacentral:rRNA from 1 species